CUUGUUGAAUUCGAGUUUCAAUCGUACAAUAACCAACGCUAGAUUCCGUUGGUAGUAAAUUCUAUUGUUUCAAAAAUUGAUUUGCAGUUAGUGAACGUUCAUUUGGAAUUCCACUGGUUGAAUUUCGUCUUUUGUUGAACCCCGUAAACUUGGUCGCAUUGGUGAUAGUAUCACUAAGCUUCAUUCACUUGACAUCGAUUUCUAUAACAAACUUAGUUGAACCAUUGAGUUCUUAGUGAUGCAAAAUGUCCUCACAUUCACGUAAUUUGAAUAAGUCUUACUUUGACUACGCGUUUAUUCACCUUGGCAUUGUUCGGACUUACCUGCGAACGACACAACUAUGAGGAGACAACAUAGACAAAAUUUCGAGGACGAAAUUUCUGUAACAGGGGGAGAAUGUGACAACCGGUGAUUUACGGCUCUUAAUUAUGUGAUUAACAGGUGAUUAACACGACAAUAAAUAGUGUUUAAGACGCAAAUUAACUUAAUUAGGCAUUUGGAGUGCCCAGGGACGUCUAUCCGACUUUACAGUACGCGUAUGAAGAUUCGCGUGGAAUCUGCAACAACGAACUGAUACCGUGCAAAAUACUGACAACGCCGACAAAUACGGAUUUUCUACGAAUAUUUUAUAAAUAUAAUUUUACGAAUGUAUUGGGUUUCUGUGCGACCCAAACGCAAACGUGAACUAAAAACGCGAUAGCAGGAAACGCAUCGGCAACGAAACGAAAGCGACGGAGGCGUUUGUCACCUUCAGAACUUACAUUUUACGCUAUAUUUAGUUCCGUAAUGGAAUUUUAGUAGUUACAGUCGAAAUCGGAUCGAAAAACGGAUUAGAAACGACCUCUUGAGCAAAUUUCGCGAUUUUAACGCAACUGACGAACGAACGCGUCAACCGUCAACUUCCGACGCUAUUUUACAUACCCUCGAUCCUAAAAUGACAUUGUACGACAUUACACGACGUUCCGGUGCAAAACGGGCUUUAGAAACGAGAUCGGGGGGUUCAAAAUGCUAGAAACAGGCUUGUGGGCCUUGUGCCCAAGCCCACAAAACCUUCACUAUAUAAAGGGUUUUACCCCUAAAAUCUUUCAUUUCAACUAAACUUUCUCUCUCUAACCCUCAAAUCCUCUCAACUCUUUCUCUCUAGAAACAAGUCCGGCGAGAAUUCCGGCCGACUUCCGGCGGAGAUCCGGCGACCGGCGACUUUUCCGGCGGAGUUCCGGCGACCGACGAUUUUCCGGCGAAUUUUCCGGCGGCCGUUUUUCGGCCAAGAGUACACUUUUUCGACUAUAUCCGACGUUCCGGAUCGCGUGGUGAGAUGCUUAGAUCGGGACUUGAGGAGCAUUUCUGCAAAUUUUCAAGAAAUUUUAUUCUCCGGCGAAAUCCCGACUUCUGACAUGGUUUUGGCGAGGUUCCAGCCGUCCGUUUUCGACGAAAAUUAUAUUUUUGGGCUCCUAGUGACCCGUAGAGUCCAUACGAAACACUUUCGUCUCGGGUGAAAAUUUAAGUUCGGGACGCUCUCGGGCUCGGGUCAACGCGGUCAACAGGUCAAACACGGGUCAAGAGGCAGUUUUGGGUCAUUUUUAGUGCCUCGGUUCAGUUUCGGGUCCGGUCAACCCUGGUCAACACGGGUCAAACGUGGUCAAAGGUGGUCAAAGCUGGUCAAAUUCAGUCAACUGCUGGUCAACGCAGUCAACUCAGUCAACACGAGGCUCGGAAUGUCAUAGGUGCACGCUAGCUAAUUCAUGUUCUUGGAACAACACUUCGGAGUCACGCUAGGCUAGCAUUGCACAGGAAUGUCAAGGUUGCAUUUUUCAAAACUAUGGAACGGUUGGAAUAGGAAAACCCACGGGAUUUCGAGUACUUAGCAGGCGUUUAAUUUCUAGAAGUCUUAGCUUAUUUGCUUCCGCUGUGCAAUGAAGAUACCGGUCCAGUCACGCCAGCUCUGAUAUUUCGGGGAGACCUUGGACUGAAGACGAAGACAUAACUUAGGUCACUUCUUGGAUGGACGUGUCAGAUAGCAGACAAGGAGCCGUUGCAUUUAGAACAACCUUUAUUUCAAGAAUUCUGUCAACGUGUAGGUGAAACCAAUCGCUCUUCAAACCAAGCUUUUUCAAGGUUCAAUACUAUGUUCGUGAAGGUUUGCACAUUUCAUCAACUCUUCAACAUCAUGAUGGCUCGCGGUGACGGCAGAACAGAGGCAGAAGCGAUUGUCGAGGCCCUUCAGGAAUACCAAGAUACAAAGCAUGUAAGAUUUAUUCACAUCUCAUUUUGGCAAUUACAAAAAAAAAAACAAUGCUUGUAUGCAACCAGUUGUGCAUCCCGAUGGCCGAUGCCAACUCCAACUCCAAUGGUCCAAGGGUUGAUGAUUAGUUUAAUUAUGUAGUUUAUUUAGGUUUAAUUAUCUACUUUGUGUAAUGUUUUAAAUUUUAUUAAAUUUAUUUUUUUAGUUUAAA